CCCUACGGGAGGCAGCAGUGGGGAAUAUUGCGCAAUGGGCGAAAGCCUGACGCAGCGACGCCGCGUGAGGGAUGAAGGUCUUCGGAUCGUAAACCUCUGUCAGCAGGGAAGAACGGUCACUGUGCUAAUCAGCAGUGAAUUGACGGUACCUGACUAAGAAGCCCCGGCUAACUACGUGCCAGCAGCCGCGGUAAUACGUAGGGGGCAAGCGUUAUCCGGAUUUACUGGGUGUAAAGGGAGCGUAGACGGCAAUACAAGUCGGAAGUGAAAUACCCGGGCUCAACCUGGGAACUGCUUUGGAAACU
rnacentral:rRNA from 1 species